UACAGAGGUCCCGAGCCGUUGUUCGGAUUCAUUGGGCGUAAAGGGUGCGUAGGCGGUCUUCUAAGUUUGAUGUGAAAUCCCGGGGCUCAACCCUGGAAUUGCAUUGAAUACUGGAGGACUAGAGUACCGGAGAGGAAACUGGAAUUUACGGUGUAGCAGUGAAAUGCGUAGAGAUCGUAAGGAAGACCAGUGGCGAAGGCGAGUUUCUGGACGGUAACUGACGCUGAGGCACGAAGGCCAGGGGAGCAAACGGG
rnacentral:rRNA from 1 species